GGAGGGAUCGCAUAGUUGGUCUAGUGCGCAGACCUGGAAAGUCUGUUUGGGGGUAACCUCAUCGCGGGUUCGAAUCCCGCUCCCUCCG
rnacentral:tRNA from 1 species